CUGUACUUAUAUACCUCAGCCUGCCUAGUUAGCUAGCAAGCAAGCAAGCUAAUGUAACUGCUAUUGCAGCGUUCUGUUUUUAUGUAGUUAGCACUUCAAUGGCAUCUCUCGAGGAGAUUUUCUUUUAUCUUUCCAACCAGGCGAAGUACUAUGGACAAGAGGCGCAACAUUCAGAGAAAUUCACAUUUCAGGGUCAGAACCCUGUGUAGCCUGCCAGAAGUUUGAGAUCACUGAAACUCCACCUGAUGUGGUGAAAGUUGUCGAUCCAGAUCAGAAAGCCUUCGAGUACUACCUUCAGGCACAGACUGAGAAGGAUGUGAAUGUUUUUGACCAGGAGCUAGGGGUUCUGCCCAACACCCAGACGUAAAUCCCCCCGAUGUCUUCCAUAACCAACCACCCUCCAACUUUUCAUUACAUCAUCUACAGCUACUGUUGUCAUGUUGUCAUUAUCUGCUAAGAAAGUUUUCUUGCUGUAUCAUACUGAGCACAUAAUAUGUGAGAUAUACAGAUUAACUAAAAACACUAGCACUGCAAACACUCAGAACAGAGAUUGCAGCAGUGCCUGGACUUUGCAGUCUCCCUCUUCUUCAAGUUUCCCUUCUGAGACUGGCUGCCUGUUGAGUGACAGGCAGAAUUCCACACACCUUAAUUCAGUAUUUUAGUCUAUGAUUGCCAUGUGAGUGCAUAAAAAAUCUGCGAAAAUAAAUUAAUGACACAAC
rnacentral:lncRNA from 1 species